rnacentral:lncRNA from 13 species
UGAAUGAUCGGCUAUGAAAAAUGCUAAUAUAAGCACAGACAUGCUGCCCAGCCUCUCUAAGGAGGAUUUGCGUGAUCUUUCUCGGGCCAGAACACUUCUUCAGAAGGAGAGCCAUUUGGAGAUUUACUCAUGGCGAAAAUGAGGUAAUGUUAGAUUUUGACAUUUGGGAGACAUUUAAUCUAACCAUGCAGUGUUUCCUCUUAUCAAAGUAGCAUUUCCUGGCCAUCAUUACAAUACAUGUAUCUAAAGAUGUAGUUGUUUUGGUGUUUGCUGUUAGGUUGUUGUUAGUGUGGUGUUAUUUUUUAUUUCUAAUUACCAUUGUGUAGACCAGGCACCUCUGGGACCUGUGGUUUCAGCCCCCGCUCCUCUUCCACCUUCCUGUCCCCUCCAUCCCCCCACCCCUC